ACUCCUGCGGGAGGCAGCAGUGGGGAAUUUUGGACAAUGGGGGCAACCCUGAUCCAGCAAUGCCGCGUGAGUGAAGAAGGCCUUCGGGUUGUAAAGCUCUUUUGUCAGGGAAGAAACGGUGGUGGCGAAUAACUACUACUAAUGACGGUACCUGAAGAAUAAGCACCGGCUAACUACGUGCCAGCAGCCGCAGUAAUACGUAGGGUGCAAGCGUUAAUCGGAAUUACUGGGCGUAAAGCGUGCGCAGGCGGUUGUGUAAGUCAGAUGUGAAAUCCCCGGGCUCCACCUGGGAAUUGCAUUUGAGACUGCACGGCUAGAGUGUGUCAGAGGGGGGUAGAAUUCCACGUGUAGCAGUGAAAUGCGUAGAUAUGUGGAGGAAUACCGAUGGCGAAGGCAGCCCCCUGGGAUAACACUGACGCUCAUGCACGAAAGCGUGGGGAGCAAACAGGAUUAGAUACCCGUGUAGUCC
rnacentral:rRNA from 1 species